rnacentral:rRNA from 1 species
UAAAGAUAAUAAGGGCGUACGGUGGAUGCCUUGGCGAUAUCAGCCGAAGAAGGACGCGGUAAGCUGCGAUAAGCUACGGAGAGGUGCAAGCAACCUGUGACCCGUAGAUUUCCGAAUGGGGGAACCCGGCAGUGGUUAUGCACUGUCACCCAUAGCUUAGACUAUGAGGAGGGCACCUGGGGAACUGAAACAUCUAAUUACCCAGAGGAACAGUAAUCAAACGAGAUUUUCUUAGUAGCGGCGAGCGAACGGGAAAGAGGCCAAACCGGAGCGGGCAACCGCACCGGGGUUGAGGACAGUCAUCAAGUGUAAAUGAGGUAGAAGAAUCGAGCUGGAAAGCUCAGCCGCAGAAGGUGAAAGCCCUGUAAUCGAAACCUUGCAUACACGGGACUGUAUCCAGAGUACCACGAGACACGUGAAACCUUGUGGGAAGCAGGGGGGACCACCCUCCAAGCCAAAAUACUGAUAUCGACCGAUAGCGCAUAGUACCGUGAGGGAAAGGUGAAAAGAACCCCUGGCGGGGAGUGAAAGAGAACCUGAAACCGUAUGUCUACAAACAGUCGAAGUCUGUAUAUAUAUCAGGACGACGGCGUGCCUAUUGAAGAAUGAACCGACGAGUUACUGUUGCUAGCGAGGUUAAGUGGAAAACAUGGAGCCGCAGCGAAAGCGAGUCUGAACAGGGCGUUCAGUUAGUAAUAGUAGACCCGAAACCGUAGUGAUCUAUCCAUGGCCAGGUUGAAGCACAGGUAAAAUUGUGUGGAGGACCGAACUCGUGAGCGUUGAAAAGCUUUGGGAUGAGUUGUGGAUAGGGGUGAAAUGCCAAUCGAACACGGAGAUAGCUGGUUCUCCCCGAAAUAGCUUUAGGGCUAGCCUCGAGGUAGAGAGUAUAGGCGGUAGAGCACUGAUCGGGCUAGGGGCCAUACCGGUUACCGAACCUAGUCAAACUACGAAUGGCUAUACUUAUACUCGGGAGUCAGACAGUGAAUGAUAAGGUCCAUUGUCAAGAGGGAAACAGCCCAGAACACCGACUAAGGUCCCCAAUGUUACACUAAGUGGCGAAGGAUGUGGAAUUUCCAAAACAACCAGGAUGUUGGCUUAGAAGCAGCCACCAUUUAAAGAGUGCGUAAUAGCUCACUGGUCGAGAGACUCUGCGCCGAAAAUGUCCGGGGCUAAAGUGUAAAACCGAAGUCGUGUCAUAUGCAGCAAUGUAUAUGGGUAGGGGAGCGUUCUCAUCGGGCUGAAGCAGUACCGUAAGGAGUUGUGGACUGAUGAGAAGUGAGAAUGUCGGUAUGAGUAGCGAAAAGAAUGGUGAGAAUCCAUUCCACCGAAAGCCUAAGGGUUCCUGAGCAACGAUCGUCGUCUCAGGGUAAGUCGGGACCUAAGCCGAGGCGGAAAAGCGUAGGCGAUGGACAACAGGUUGAAAUUCCUGUACCGGUGUGAAUCGUUUGAUCGAUGGAGUGACACAGUAAGGUAGGUCAGCACGCGAUUGGAAGAGCGUGUUUAAGCAGGUAGGUUGAGCUAUAGGCAAAUCCGUAGCUCUAAAAGCUGAGAUGUGAUGACGAGUGACUAGCAAUAGUCGCGAAGUGAUUGAUCCUACACUGUCGAGAAAAGCUUCUAGGUAGAGACACAUCGCCCGUACCAAAACCGACACAGGUAGGCGGGGAGAGAAUCCUAAGGUGCGCGGGAAAACCCUCGUUAAGGAACUCGGCAAAAUGCAUCCGUAACUUCGGGAAAAGGAUGGCCGUAGCUGGUGAAGCUUUUUACAAGUGGAGCUGGAGACGGCGGCAGAAAAGAGGCCCAAGCGACUGUUUACCACAAACACAGGUGCCUGCGAAAGCGCAAGCUGAAGUAUAGGUGCUGACGCCUGCCCGGUGCAGGAAGGUUAAGGAGAGUUGUUAGUCCUUGCGAUGAAGCAGCGAACUGAAGCCCCUGUAAACGGCGGCCGUAACUAUAACGGUCCUAAGGUAGCGAAAUUCCUUGUCGGGU